rnacentral:rRNA from 1 species
AGUGAACGCUGGCGGUGGGCCUAACACAUGCGAGUCGAACGGCAGCGCAGUAAGAGCUUGCUCUGACGGGGGGCGGGUGGCGGGCGGGUGAGGAGUACAUCGGAAUCUAGUUUUUCGUGGGGGAUAACGUAGGGGGAGUUACGCUAGUACCGCAGACGACCUACGGUGGAGAGCAGGGGAUCGUCGGACCGGGCGGGAUUGAAUGAGCGGAUGUCGGAUUAGCUAGUUGGGGGGGUAAAGACCCACCAAGGCGACGAUCCGUAGCUGGUCUGAGAGGAUGAUCAGCCACACUGGAACUGAGACAGCGUCCAGACUACUACGGGACGGCGCAGUCUGCAAUAUUGGACAAUGGUCGCAAGUCUUAUACAGCGAUACCGAGUGGGUGAAGAAGGCCUUCGGGUUGUAAAGACCUCUUGUUGGGAAAGAAACGCAGCCGGUUAAUACCCCGCUGUUCUGACGGUACUCAAAGAAUAAGCACCGGCUAACUUCGUG